rnacentral:rRNA from 1 species
AGCGAACGCUGGCGGCAGGCUUAACACAUGCAGGUCGAGCGGGCACUUCGGUGUCAGCGGCAGACGGGUGAGUAACACGUGGGAACGUACCCUUUGGUUCGGAAUAACGCUGGGAAACUAGCGCUAAUACCGGAUACGCCCUUUUGGGGAAAGGCUUGCUGCCGAAGGAUCGGCCCGCGUCUGAUUAGCUAGUUGGUGGGGUAAUGGCCUACCAAGGCGACGAUCAGUAGCUGGUCUGAGAGGAUGAUCAGCCACACUGGGACUGAGACACGGCCCAGACUCCUACGGGAAGCAGCAGUGGGGAAUAUUGGACAAUGGGCGCAAGCCUGAUCCAGCCAUGCCGCGUGAGUGAUGAAGGCCUUAGGGUUGUAAAGCUCUUUUGUCCGGGACGAUAAUGACGGUACCGGAAGAAUAAGCCCCGGCUAACUUCGUG